UACGGAGGGGGCUAGCGUUGUUCGGAAUUACUGGGCGUGAAGCGCACGUAGGCGGCUUCGCAAGUCAGAGGUGAAAGCCCGGGGCUCAACUCCGGAAUUGCCUUUAAGACUGCAUCGCUUGAACGUCGGAGAGGUAAGUGGAAUUCCGAGUGUAGAGGUGAAAUUCGUAGAUAUUCGGAAGAACACCAGUGGCGAAGGCGACUUACUGGACGAUUGUUGACGCUGAGGUGCGAAAGCGUGGGGAGCAAACAGG
rnacentral:rRNA from 1 species